UACGGAGGGUGCGAGCGUUGUCCGGAAUCAUUGGGCGUAAAGAGCGUGUAGGCGGCUCGAUUAGUCCGCUGUAAAAGUCCAGGGCUCAACCCUGGGAUGCCGGUGGAAACUGUCGGGCUAGAGUCCGGGAGAGGCGAGUGGAAUUCCUGGUGUAGCGGUGAAAUGCGCAGAUAUCAGGAGGAACACCAAUGGCGAAGGCAGCUCGCUGGAACGGUACUGACGCUGAGACGCGAAAGCGUGGGGAGCAAACAGG
rnacentral:rRNA from 1 species